rnacentral:rRNA from 3 species
AGACCCGAAACCCGGUGAUCUAGCCAUGGGCAGGUUGAAGGUUGGGUAACACUAACUGGAGGACCGAACCGACUAAUGUUGAAAAAUUAGCGGAUGACCUGUGGCUGGGGGUGAAAGGCCAAUCAAACCGGGAGAUAGCUGGUUCUCCCCGAAAGCUAUUUAGGUAGCGCCUCGUGAAUUCAUCUCCGGGGGUAGAGCACUGUUUCGGCUAGGGGGCCAUCCCGGCUUACCAACCCGAUGCAAACUGCGAAUACCGGAGAAUGUUAUCACGGGAGACACACGGCGGGUGCUAACGUCCGUCGUGAAGAGGGAAACAACCCAGACCGCCAGCUAAGGUCCCAAAGUCAUGGUUAAGUGGGAAACGAUGUGGGAAGGCCCAGACAGCCAGGAUGUUGGCUUAGAAGCAGCCAUCAUUUAAAGAAAGCGUAAUAGCUCACUGGUCGAGUCGGCCUGCGCGGAAGAUGUAACGGGGCUAAACCAUGCACCGAAGCUGCGGCAGCGACACUCAGGUGUUGUUGGGUAGGGGAGCGUUCUGUAAGCCUGUGAAGGUGUGUCGUGAGGCAUGCUGGAGGUAUCAGAAGUGCGAAUGCUGA